rnacentral:lncRNA from 1 species
ACAGAUUCUGAUUCCAUCUCCCGGCCCCUUGGUGUCUUUCCUGCUGUCGGGAUCCUGCAGGGGAACCCUUCCUGAGCUCCUUCCAAAUAUCCGGCCUUGCUGGCCCGUCUCCUUGGAGCUGAGGUGCCCGAGGCCUGCUCUGGCCCAGAGCGCAAGGGGGUGAGGCCUCUACUCUGGGCUCUCGGCCAGAGGCGUCCUCUCUCUGUCAGUCCUCAGGAGGUGGAUCCUGGCUUUGAGCGAAGCUGUAUCUUUGAGAAUAUUUUUAUACAAAAUCUAAAAUCAUGGUAUGUUUGGAGUAUGUCCGGUAGGUCGGCUCACCAUUACACUAGAAAUGGAGAAUCCGUGUUAUCACCCUCCCUGGAGCACCAGAAAAAGACAUGAAUCCUCUCUUUCUGGGGAUUAGUCUAUGGCAAAUUUGGCCAACACGGUUCUUAAGAAUUUGGAUUGAAAUGUACCCCACGUCGACGCCCUGGAUUUGCGGGUCAGCGUCAUUACAGAUGUUACCUUCAGGGAAUCUGAGUGAAGGCACAUGGAAUUCCUCUGCACUCUGUGGACAUCCUCCUGUGAGCUGCGCAUCCUCCUGUGAACCUCUACUUAACUCAAAGUGCACUCACCUCCUGGGGCCAGGUCGCAUGCACAAGCUGGAGACUCCAACCUCACAGAGCUGACCCUCCAGUGGAAAGAGGCAGAAGCCACAUCACCCACAGGCCCCCAGCCCUUCCCGGGCUAUCCUGCCUCCUGCCUCACAGAGGACAAUCACAGGCUUAACCGCAGCUCCUGCAGCAGGUGGGUCCAUGGCCACGUUGAUGUUAAAACCUUCAUUUCUGGAAGGCCCGGAGGUCAGAAGACAGCUCAGGCAGCCUCCCCACGACGGCACAUGCUGUCAGACAUGCCCCGGCGUCACUUAAAACUUCAAAGACACGCGUUUCAAGGUGGGCCUGGAGUGCUGUUUUUUUCACUGAUUUUUCUCAGUUUGUCGCCCGCUGAGUGGGUUCAGAGCUCUUUCAUCUGGGCGGUCACAUCAUCUACUUGUCCUGCAGAGCCAGCAAAAAGCCACAAUUGCACUGGACCAUUUCCCGCCAUUUUCCUACGUGUGGCUGUCAGAAAAUGACCCAUAUUUACUUUGAAAUAAUGCUUCCCACCUUUGUUCCUUGUAAAUCUGAUUUAUGUUUACUGUGGACUUAAGGAAGUGCAGGCAAGGAUAUGGAAGAAAUUUAAAUAACUUCUGUUUCUGCCACCCAGAGAGAACCUGCUGUUAACAUUUUCUCUCAGGCUUUUUAUACGUAUAUUUAUAUAAUCGAGAUUAUUCUGUAUACACAAUUUGAGCCUUUGUUCCCUCCCGCCCCACCCAGUAUUACUUUGUAAGUAAUGGAGCCCAAUCAGUGGUCCUCCCAAGAUAAAGUCAUUCUUUCCUCUCAUUGGACAUAUGAGCAAUUUCUUGUUUUUAAAAAAGUUCUUAUUCUUUAGUUCUACAAAUAAUACUGUGGCAAAAUAUUCUAUACCUUUUCCUGAAAUGGCGAUUUUCUUGAGUCCUAAGGGAAGUUUUACCGGGUCAAAGCUCAGGGACUUAAGGUUUGGGCUUGCAAUGACACCUCACAUGAAGUGCUGCUAGAAUCAAUAUUUUUGGAGACUUUUCUUAAUUCUUUAGUUUCUUAAGGAGAAAGAGUGGCAGAAAAAAUAUACUGUCUUCUGU